CCUACGGGAGGCAGCAGUGAGGAAUAUUGGUCAAUGGGCGGGAGCCUGAACCAGCCAAGUCGCGUGAGGGAAGACGGUCCUAUGGAUUGUAAACCUCUUUAGGCGGGGAGCAAUGCCGGGCACGCGUGCACGGAGGGAGAGUACCCGCAGAAUACGCAACGGCUAACUCCGUGCCAGCAGCCGCGGUAAUACGGAGGAUGCGAGCGUUAUCCGGAUUUUUUGGGUUUAAAGGGUGCGUAGGCGGAUUUUUAAGUCAGCGGUAAAAUGUCCGGGCUCAACCCGGGCCGGCCGUUGAAACUGGGGAUCUUGAGUGGGCGAGAAGUAUGCGGAAUGCGUGGUGUAGCGGUGAAAUGCAUAGAUAUCACGCAGAACUCCGAUUGCGAAGGCAGCAUACCGGCGCCCGACUGACGCUGAGGCACGAAAGCGUGGGGAUCGAACAGGAUUAGAUACCCCGGUAGUC
rnacentral:rRNA from 1 species